AACAUCGGUUCCCCAAAACGAAGAAAACAUAAGCAGCCAAAGUCACUUGUGAAGAUAUCACACUCACUAAAACAAUCUCUGGAGUCAAGAUGACCGAACGAUUGGGGACCAAUUGAGAGAUCACAUGGGUAAGAUUUCAUUACCAGAUGGAGGGAGGUAGCGUCUCUAGACUUACUUGUUCUGGAGAUAAAAACAAUGGAACUUGUCGAGCCAACUGGCUGGGUUUAUCUAUCUUUGUCUGGUAAUGAUCCUAGAAAUGAUCCAAUCCUUGCAUUUGAGAACUUCAGAAAUUCCUAUGAAGAAGCUGUAGCUAUUGACUAUUAUUGAUGUAAGCCAUGUUAGAGCUAGAAAAGGCUAAUCUACUGAUAGUCAUAGCUUAGUAGAAAUGGUUAGAAAGGGAAAGAUCAAUCAAAGACUCAAAUGCUUGCAAGACAUUGUCCCUGGAUGCUAUAAGAGCCUGGUGAUGGCAGUGAUGCUAUAAGAGCAGAUGAGAUCGAUAAGAGAGAGAUGAUGCUAUCCAACGCUAAUGAGGAGGUUUUGUAGAAGGAGUUGGUGCUUCUUGAUUAUGUAUUUCAGAUUGUAAAAUGGUGUUCAGAUUGUGUAUUUUAGAUUUUAAAAUGGUAAAAUGGUGUUUAGAUUGUGUAUUUCAGAUUGUAAAAUGGUGUUCAGAUUGUGUAUUUAAGAUAUUAUUAGUUUUGCAAAUGUAUAGUAUCUUUGGUGCUUUAUUCUAUCUAGGUCUAACU